AAAUCGCUUACAAACAUAGGGACUAAAAACACAAAAAACAUUAUAUCCACAAAACGCAGGCAAAGUGCAUAUGACUUUUAGGGAGACAGAGACCGAUGUUGAAGUUGCACGAGCACGACUCAGCACAAAGCAUUGUUCCUUAAUUCGAAGCGAAGCCAUGUUUACCAGUUAGCGCCGACAAGCGACUUCUUAUGCUGUGUUAGAAUCAAUUAAUGUACCUAGAACCUGCUCACAAAAGCUUUUAAGUAGACUUGAUUUUGGCAUUAGAAUUAAUUGUUGAAGAUUUUAGAACAUGUUCUUCAUAGCUUCGAAGUCUGAACACACUCAAUACUGUACUUCUCAAAUACAAGGCAGUGUGGAACACAAUGGAAUGCAUCAGACUUGCAUUACUAGGUACAUGUCACUUAGCUUUUGCUGCAUUGUUGGAGAAGGAUUACUUCAAAUUUCAAUUGGACUUCCUUGUCUGCUAUGUUGAAUAUGAAGCUCUACAUCGGACUACUUAAUGUUGACUUGGUUAAUAAACUAUACGCUAUGGUGACGGCUUUCUUCACUCUGUCUAUCUUCUACCUUUUCAGGGCAUAACAUAGCAACAUUGAUCUCUGCUGUAAGGUUUUUCUAUUUUGCAGCAUGUAAUAUAUAUCCUCCUCCUACUUCAUAGACUCUUUUCUAAUUCUCUAUUAAUUUGGCAUUUUUCUGUUAAGAAAUUAUUUUGUCAGCCAUUAUACAAAAGUAUUGAUGAUGGCUUUCUUAUCUUGGGGGAAUUGAAAUUUGUGAUUUAUCCCUCUUCUCUGGAUGGCUUACUAAAAGAAGGCCUGUGACAAAAAAAAUGAAAUAAAUAAAUGAAUAACAGAAAAGAAAGUCUGCGGAA